rnacentral:rRNA from 1 species
GACAGAGGUCCCGAGCGUUAGGCGGAAUCACUGGGCUUAAAGCGUGUGUAGGCGGACUUCUAAGUACCUUGUGAAAUCCCACGGCUUAACCGUGGAACGGCUGGGUAUACUGGUUGUCUUGGGCCACUUAGGGGCUACUGGAACAAACGGUGGAGCGGUGAAAUGCGUAGAUAUCGUUUGGAACGCCAAUGGUGAAAACAAGUAGCUGGGAGUGUGCCGACGCUGAGACACGAAAGCCAGGGGAGCAAACGGG